rnacentral:rRNA from 1 species
UUAGUGGCGGACGGGUGAGUAACGCGUGGAAAACCUGCCGUAUACUGGGGGAUAACACUUAGAAAUAGGUGCUAAUACCGCAUAAGCGCACAGUAUCGCAUGAUACAGUGUGAAAAACUCCGGUGGUACAGGAUGGACCCGCGUCUGAUUAGCUGGUUGGCGGGGUAACGGCCCACCAAGGCGACGAUCAGUAGCCGGCCUGAGAGGGUGAACGGCCACAUUGGGACUGAGACACGGCCCAAACUCCUACGGGAGGCAGCAG